rnacentral:rRNA from 1 species
GAUGAACGCUGGCGGCGUGCCUAAUACAUGCAAGUCGAGCGAACCGACGAGGAGCUUGCUCCUCUGACGUUAGCGGCGGACGGGUGAGUAACACGUGGAUAACCUACCUAUAAGACUGGGAUAACUUCGGGAAACCGGAUCUAAUACCGGAUAAUAUAUUGAACCGCAUGGUUCAAUAGCGAAAGACGGUUUUGCUGUCACUUAUAGAUGGAUCCGCGCCGCAUUAGCUAGUUGGUAAGGUAACGGCUUACCAAGGCGACGAUGCGUAGCCGACCUGAGAGGGGGAUCGGCCACACUGGAACUGAGACACGGUCCAGACUCCUACGGGAGGCAACAGUAGGGAAUCUUCCGCAAUGGGCGAAAGCCUGACGGAGCAACGCCGCGUGAGUGGUGAAGGUCUUCGGAUCGUAAAACUCUGUUAUUAGGGAAGAACAAAUGUGUAAGUAACUAUGCACGUCUUGACGGUACCUAAUCAGAAAGCCACGGCUAACUACGUG